rnacentral:rRNA from 1 species
UACGUAGGGGGCAAGCGUUAUCCGGAUUUACUGGGUGUAAAGGGGGCGCAGACGGCGAUGCAAGCCAGGAGUGAAAGCCCGGGGCCCAACCCCGGGACUGCUCUUGGAACUGCGUGGCUGGAGUGCAGGAGGGGCAGGCGGAAUUCCUGGUGUAGCGGUGAAAUGCGUAGAUAUCAGGAGGAACACCGGUGGCGAAGGCGGCCUGCUGGACUGCAACUGACGUUGAGGCUCGAAAGCAUGGGUAGCGAACAGG